CGUGGAUAACCUUCCUUCAGGUGGGGAAUAACCCAGUGAAAAUUGGGCUAAUACCGCAUAACAAGACGAUGGCACAUGCUGUUGUCUUCAAAGGCGCAAGUCGCCAGAAGAGGGAUCCGCGGCCGAUUAGCUUGUUGGCGAGGUAAUGGCUCACCAAGGCAUUGAUCGGUAGCCGGACUGAGAGGUUGGCCGGCCACACUGGAACUGAGACACGGUCCAGACUCCUACGGGAGGCAGCAGUGGGGAAUCUUGUACAAUGGACGAAAGUCUGAUGCAGCAACGCCGCGUGGGGGAUGAAGCUUCUCGGAGUGUAAACCCCUUUCGACCUGGAAGAAUGCCCGCAAGGGUUUGACGGUACAGGUAUAAGAAGCCCCGGCUAACUACGUGCCAGCAGCCGCGGUAAUACGUAGGGGGCCAGCGUUGCUCGGAAUUACUGGGCGUAAAGGGUCCGUAGGCGGUGUGGUAAGUCGGGAGUGAAAUCUUUGGGCUUAACCCAGAGGCUGCUUCCGAAACUGCCGUGCUAGAGUGUGAGAGAGGCGAGUGGAAUUACGGGUGUAGCGGUGAAAUGCGUAGAUAUCCGUAGGAACAUCCGAGGCGAAGGCGGCUCGCUGGAUCACAACUGACGCUGAGGGACGAAAGCUAGGGGAGCAAACAGGAUUAGAUACCCUGGUAGUCCUAGCCCUAAACCAUCAGGACUUGGGGUUUGCCCUGUACGGGGCAAGUCCCGUAGCUAACGCGUUAAGUCCUGCGCCUGGGGAGUACGGUCGCAAGACUGAAACUCAAAUGAAUUGACGG
rnacentral:rRNA from 1 species